GAAACAACAAACAAAUAGCAAUAGGAUUGAAUUACUUCCCCAAAAAACAAUCUUUUGAGCCAAGAUGGGAAGGAAGAGAAAAGCUCAACCAGGACAUUUAUAACAUAUGUAGAUUUAAGCAAAGUAAUGGAAAGUACUUAAAACAAGCAUUUGGGCUUUUAGGCUUGUAGCUGGCUGUGCCCUGUGAAUGAGACAAUGAGAAGAGUAAAAACCAGUGAAAGCAACUGCAUACACUUUUUGAUGGCGCUGCCAGGGGACCUGGGUACACAAACUCCCUCCUCCAUGGAUUGGUCAUAACAAAUUAGCCUCACUUGUUUUAUUUGGAA
rnacentral:misc_RNA from 1 species